GGAAGUAAAAGUCGUAACAAGGUCUCCGUUGGUGAACCAGCGGAGGGAUCAUUACCGAGUUUACAACUCCCAAACCCCUGUGAACAUACCACUUGUUGCCUCGGCGGAUCAGCCCGCUCCCGGUAAAACGGGACGGCCCGCCAGAGGACCCCUAAACUCUGUUUCUAUAUGUAACUUCUGAGUAAAACCAUAAAUAAAUCAAAACUUUCAACAACGGAUCUCUUGGUUCUGGCAUCGAUGAAGAACGCAGCAAAAUGCGAUAAGUAAUGUGAAUUGCAGAAUUCAGUGAAUCAUCGAAUCUUUGAACGCACAUUGCGCCCGCCAGUAUUCUGGCGGGCAUGCCUGUUCGAGCGUCAUUUCAACCCUCAAGCACAGCUUGGUGCUGGGACUCGCGUUAAUUCGCGUUCCUCAAAUUGAUUGGCGGUCACGUCGAGCUUCCAUAGCGUAGUAGUAAAACCCUCGUUACUGGUAAUCGUCGCGGCCACGCCGUUAAACCCCAACUUCUGAAUGUUGACCUCGGAUCAGGUAGGAAUACCCGCUGAACUUAAGCAUAUCAAUAAGCGGAGGA
rnacentral:rRNA from 1 species